AUGGCAUCACCAACUUCAAAAAAAUGGAAAAAGGCUAUGAAAGAGGAAGUAGCCUCUCUUGAAGAGAACAACACCUACUCACUUGUACCGUUACCAGAGGGUAGACAGACAGUGGGGGAAAGGUGGGUGUACGCUCUUAAAGAGGAUGAUAAGGGGAAUGAAGUGUAUAAGGCCAGAUACGUGGCAAAGGGAUACAGCCAAGUAGAAGGACUCAACUAUUCAGAGACUUUUUCCCCGACAGCUAACCUGACAUCACUACGGGCACUAAUGCAACUUGCUGCACAACAUAAUCUUGCACUAAAUCAGAUGGAUGUCAAGGCAGCAUAUUUACAUGCACCAGUUGACUGUGAGAUCUAUGUGGAUCAACCUGAAGGUUUCCACCUCGAUUCAAAGGAGGGGGUGCAACUUGUGUGUAAGUUAAACAAAUCUAUUUAUGGUCUCAAGCAGUCAGGCAGGAAUUGGAAUAUGGUGCUCCAUGAAUUCCUGAUUGAAAAUGAUUUUGAUCAUAGCCAAGCUGACCACUGUAUCUAUACCAAACUUUCUGACAAAGAGAAGGUCAUUCUGCUAGUGUGGGUAGAUGAUAUAGUUGUGGCUGCCAGCGAUGAGGUGUGUUUGAGAGAGAUCAAGGACAGAUUGAAAAGUAGGUUUAAAAUGAAAAACCUUGGAAACCUCACACAGUUCAUUGGGAUUGAUUUCACCCAAAAGGAUGAAUGUGUAAAAAUGAAUCAGUCCAGAUACAUCAGGAAAAUACUAAAAUGGUUUGGCAUGGCAGAGUGUAAAGCUAGAGCUACACCCAGUGAGAUGAAAUGUGACUUGUCACCAGAGGGUGGAAAAACUGAUCAAAGAAAUUACAGAGAAAUUUUGGGCAGCCUCAUCUAUAUCAUGACCUGUACUAGACCAGACAUCAGUUGGAUUGUAAGUAAACUGUCUCAGUACAUGUCAGAUCCCAGAGAAAAACACAUGACUGCUUUGAAGCAUGUGUACAGAUACUUACAGGGGACCAUGGACUAUGAACCGUGUUACAACCAAUGUUCAUCAGAUUUGGAACUGGUUGGAUACUCUGACACGGACUGGGCAAAUGAUGUUCAGGACAGGAAGAGCACUACAGGCUAUUGUUUCAGCCUCAGUCAAGAAAGUGCCAUUAUUUCAAGGAAAGCAAAGAAACAACCAACGGCGGCACUGUCGACAUGUGAAUCGGAGUAUGUGGCCUUAGCAGCUACUGUUCAGGAAGCGCUCCAUUUGACUCAACUGUUAAAGGACAUUGGCUGCAGUUCAAAACAUGCAGCAAAAGUCUUUGAAGAGUGCCAAGGGACUAUAUGCCUUGCAAAGAACCCUGUCAACCGUCAGAGGAACAAACAUGUGGACAUUAAAUAUCACUUCAUCAGGUCUAAUGUGGUUCAGGGGAAAGUUGUUUUGGUGUAUUGUCCAACUGAGAAUAUGGUUGAAGGUGUAUUCACAAAGUCUGCUUCUAGAGCCAAGGUUGAAAAGUUCAAGCCCAAUAUAUUUGGAAAAUAA
rnacentral:lncRNA from 1 species